rnacentral:rRNA from 1 species
UACGUAGGUGGCAAGCGUUGUCCGGAUUUACUGGGCGUAAAGAGCGCGCAGGCGGUCGUUCAAGUCGCGUGUGAAAGCCCCCGGCUCAACUGGGGAGGGUCACGCGAUACUGAUCGACUCGAAGGCAGGAGAGGGUAGUGGAAUUCCAGGUGUAGCGGUGAAAUGCGUAGAUAUCUGGAGGAACACCGGUGGCGAAGGCGGCAUUCUGGACUGUAACUGACACUGAGGAACGAAAGCCAGGGGAGCAAACGGG